AUGCUUCUCUCUGAGAGAUGUCAUGGCUCUAUUCAGUAUCUUCACCUUGCCAAUUUGGACUUACAUCCCACAUUUCAACUUGGUUUGAGAACCUUGAAAACGCUGCAUCUGUAUAAUGUGCAUAUUACGGGGGGUGAGUUAGGGUGCCUUCUAUCCCAUUCCUUUGCUUUGGCACACUUGAGACUUCAAUAUUGUCAUGACAUCAUUCGCCUGGAGAUACCUUGUCUGCUGCAGCGGCUCAGGUUCCUGGAGGUUCUUGAAUGUAGCCUUGAGGUGUUAGAGAUCAAUGCUCCAAAUAUCUCCAGAUUCCGCUUAAUGGAUUUUAAUGUGCAACUCUCGUUUGGAAAGUCACGGAAGAUGAAGAACCUGAUGUUGAACAAUAGCUGUGGCAUCAGUUAUGCUAUUGACAACCUUCCUUCCUGUGCGCCAAAAGUUGAGACUCUUACCAUACAUUCUAGUUAUGAGAUAAUUAAUGCACCAGUGACAUCUAGCAAAUUUCGCCACCUCAAGAUCUUGAUUAUUUAUCUAUUGGGACUCCAUUCUCAUCGGGACUAUGAUUAUUUAUCCUUAGUUUCUCUUUUUGAUGCUUCUCCUUUGUUGGAGAGGUUUGUCUUGUUUGUAUCACCUGUGCAGUCCAAGUAUGACUGGUUUGAGGGAGAUCUCUCAUCUCUGAGACAAAUGUCAGAACACCGCCAUCACAACCUCAAAAAUGUGAAGAUCAGUGGUUUCUGCCCCCAAAAAAGCAUGGUUGAGCUAGCACGUCAUAUUCUUGAGAAUGCAACAUCACUUGAGUGCCUUACAUUGGACACCACUCCUAUUAGCUACCGGUGUUCUGGUGAUAUAUUGGCCAGGAAAUGCCCUCCACUGGAAACUGCAUAUAUAAGGGAUGCUUAUAAAUCAAUCUUGGCUGUUAGAACAUACAUUGAGGGGAAAGUUAACUCCACAGUCAAGUUAAACUUACUAGGGCCUUGCAGCCGGUGUUAUGCUUUGUGA
rnacentral:rRNA from 1 species